rnacentral:rRNA from 1 species
UACGAAGGGGGCUAGCGUUGUUCGGAUUUACUGGGCGUAAAGCGCACGUAGGCGGAUAGUUAAGUGAGGGGUGAAAUCCCAGGGCUCAACCCUGGAACUGCCUUUCAUACUGGCUAUCUAGAGUCCGGAAGAGGUAAGUGGAACUCCUAGUGUAGAGGUGGAAUUCGUAGAUAUUAGGAAGAACACCAGUGGCGAAGGCGGCUUACUGGUCCGGUACUGACGCUGAGGUGCGAAAGCGUGGGGAGCGAACAGG